GAUGAACGCUGGCGGCGUGCUUAACACAUGCAAGUCGAACGGAAAGGCUCCUGCUUGCCGGGGUACUCGAGUGGCGAACGGGUGAGUAACACGUGGGUGAUCUGCCCUGCACUUCGGGAUAAGCCUGGGAAACUGGGUCUAAUACCGGAUAGGACGAUUGUUUGGAUGCCAUUGUGGAAAGUUUUUUCGGUGUGGGCUGAGCUCGCGGCCUAUCCGCUUGUUGGUGGGGUAUUGGCAUACCAAGGCGUUGACGGGUAGCCGGCCUGAGAGGGUGUACGGCCACAUUGGGACUGAGAUACGGCCCAGACUCCUACGGGAGGCAGCAGGGGAGAAUAUUGCACAAUGGGCGCAAGCCUGAUGCAGCGACGCCGCGUGGGGGAUGACGGCCUUCGGGUUGUAAACACCUUUCGCUAGGGACGAAGCGCAAGUGACGGUACCUGGAGAAGAAGCACCGGCUAACUACGUG
rnacentral:rRNA from 1 species